GCGGUAGUAGCAUGCUAGGGAGCAG
rnacentral:misc_RNA from 2 species